GAUGAACGCUAGCGGCAGGCUUAAUACAUGCAAGUCGAGGGGUAGCAAGAUUGUAGCAAUACAAUUGUUGACGACCGGCAAACGGGUGCGGAACACGUACACAACCUUCCUACAAGUGGGGAAUAGCCCAGAGACAUUUGGAUUAAUACCCCGUAACAUAGCGAUGUGGCAUCACAUUGCUAUUAUAGCUUCGGCGCUUGUUGAUGGGUGUGCGGCUGAUUAGAUAGUUGGCGGGGUAACGGCCCACCAAGUCUACGAUCAGUAGCUGAUGUGAGAGCAUGAUCAGCCACACGGGCACUGAGACACGGGCCCGACUCCUACGGAAGGCAGCAGUAAGGAAUAUUGGACAAUGGACGCAAGUCUGAUCCAGCCAUGCCGCGUGAAGGAUUAAGGUCCUCUGGAUUGUAAACUUCUUUUAUAAGGGACGAAAAAAGGUCUUUCUAGAUCGUCUGACGGUACCUUAUGAAUAAGCACCGGCUAACUCCGUGCCAGCCGCCGCUGUAACAC
rnacentral:rRNA from 1 species